GGGGGGGGGGGGGAGUAUCCAGAGUGCACUUGGAGAGAUUGUUGGAAGGCGAACAGUACCACAGGUUUUCAUUAACGGAAAGCACAUCGGAGGUUCAGACGAUACAGUAGACGCACAUGAGAGCGGGGAACUGGCCAUGCUUCUUGGUGUUUCCGGAAACACAAGAGCUGAACUCUAGGUUGAAUAUAGUUGGAAUAAAACUGUGUAUGUGUUGUUCAGGUGUAAUCUUAUCAGUAGGUGAAAAAUUUGUACUGGGUUAUCAAGAUUUUAAACAAGACAUGGCCUUGUGAAACAUAUAUUAUCAAAUACUACAAGUUGAGUUAAA